rnacentral:lncRNA from 1 species
AACAAUGGGAUGGAGUAUAUCCCUGCAUUCCUGUCCUCCGCGAUUGGGUCCUUAUGGUUGCGGAGUGGCUCGAAAACUGUGGGGCCUCUCUUCUUAACUAUUGCAGACGGUUGGUUCUUCGGGGCUUUGGUGGGGGUGCGAACUGCAUUCUUGUCGUGUGCGACUUUGGGGUGGUUGGACGUAUCGGACCGCUGGGGCGCGGGUUCAUGUGGACCAGUGCUGUUUGUGGACUGCAGUGCCUUUUUCCAUAGGCCCUCUGUAGCUUUGCUGGAAUGACCGUGCUUGCAUCCUAUCAUGUGU